rnacentral:rRNA from 1 species
ACGUACACUCCUACGGGAGGCAGCAGUGGGGAAUAUUGGACAAUGGGCGCAAGCCUGAUCCAGCCAUGCCGCGUGAGUGAUGAAGGCCCUAGGGUUGUAAAGCUCUUUCACCGGUGAAGAUAAUGACGGUAACCGGAGAAGAAGCCCCGGCUAACUUCGUGCCAGCAGCCGCGGUAAUACGAAGGGGGCUAGCGUUGUUCGGAUUUACCGGGCGUAAAGCGCACGUAGGCGGACUAUUAAGUCAGGGGUGAAAUCCCGGGGCUCAACCCCGGAACUGCCUUUGAUACUGGUAGUCUUGAGUUCGAGAGAGGUGAGUGGAAUUCCGAGUGUAGAGGUGAAAUUCGUAGAUAUUCGGAGGAACACCAGUGGCGAAGGCGGCUCACUGGCUCGAUACUGACGCUGAGGUGCGAAAGCGUGGGGAGCAAACAGGAUUAGAAACCCUGGUAGUCCC